CUUAGGAGAAGGCAGCAGGCUAUUCAAACAAUUUCUAUCCCCACUUCCAACCCUCAGCUGCAACACUAGUUGCCCUUUGGGCAACACUAGUAAAAAAUCUGAAAAACAGUCUCACUAGCUAAGGCAUGAGA